AUGGUCUUUCUUUUUCUGGAAACGGCUAUUUAUUAGCAACUUCCGGAGAAGAUAAUAUUGUUCGUUUAUGGGAUUUACGCAAAUGUACGUUAUACAAAAAUAUUGAGCUGGAAGACUCUUCCUUUGGCUUGUCCUGCAUUUCUUUUGAUUCUACUGGAACAUAUUUUGCUAUUGGUGGCGCUAAAGACGUCAAAAUCUUCAUGACACGCCAACUCCCCGAAAUCGUAACGCUCCGCGGCCACAGCAAAGAGAUUACUGCUGUUAAGUUCCGGCCAUUGGCGGACGGUCUUGUUACGGCCAGUAAAGAU